rfam:Camelus ferus unplaced genomic scaffold scaffold1642, whole genome shotgun sequence.
GAAGGUAUAGCUCAAGGGGUAGAGCGCAUGGUUCGCAUGCAUGAGGUCCUGGGUUCAAUCCCCAGUACCUCCU